rnacentral:rRNA from 1 species
GUGCUGCGUAGGCAAAUCCGUGCGGCUUGGCCAAGGCGUGAUGACGAGGAUCUUCGGAUCUGAAGUGAGUGAUACCCUGCUUCCAGGAAAAGCCUCUAAGCUUCAGUUACAGAUUGACCGUACCGCAAACCGACACAGGUGGGCAGGAUGAAAAUUCUAAGGCGCUUGAGAGAACUCAGGAGAAGGAACUCGGCAAAUUGAUACCGUAACUUCGGGAGAAGGUAUGCCUCGGUAGCGUGAAGCCCCUGCGGGUGGAGCGUGAUGAGGUCGCAGAGAAUCGGUGGCUGCAACUGUUUAAUAAAAACACAGCACUCUGCAAAGGCGAAAGCCGACGUAUAGGGUGUGACGCCUGCCCGGUGCCGGAAGGUUAAGUGAUGGGGUGCAAGCUCUUGAUCGAAGCCCCGGUAAACGGCGGCCGUAACUAUAACGGUCCUAAGGUAGCGAAAUUCCUUGUCGGGUAAGUUCCGACCUGCACGAAUGGCGUAAUGAUGGCCACACUGUCUCCUCCUGAGACUCAGCGAAGUUGAAAUGUUUGUGAAGAUGCAAUCUCCCCGCGGCUAGACGGAAAGACCCCAUGAACCUUUACUGUAGCUUUGCAUUGGACUUUGACGGGACUUGUGUAGGAUAGGUGGGAGGCUGUGAGGCGUGGUCGCCAGAUCGCGCGGAGCCAACCUUGAAAUACCACCCUGGUGUCGUUGAGGUUCUAACCUUGGUCCGUGAAUCCGGAUCGGGGACCGUGCAUGGCAGGCAGUUUGACUGGGGCGGUCUCCUCCCAAAGAGUAACGGAGGAGUACGAAGGUCUUCUAAGCACGGUCGGACAUCGUGCUCAUAGUGCAAUGGCAAAAGAAGGCUUGACUGCGAGACCCACAAGUCGAGCAGGUGCGAAAGCAGGUCAUAGUGAUCCGGUGGUUCUGUAUGGAAGGGCCAUCGCUCAACGGAUAAAAGGUACUCUGGGGAUAACAGGCUGAUUCCGCCCAAGAGUUCAUAUCGACGGCGGAGUUUGGCACCUUGAUGUCGGCUCAUCACAUCCCGGGGCUGUAGCCGGUCCCAAGGGUAUGGCUGUUCGCCAUUUAAAGUGGUACGUGAGCUGGGCUUAAAACGUCGUGAGACAGUUUGGUCCCUAUCUGCCGUGGGCGCUGGAUAUUUGAGGGGACCUGCUCCUAGUACGAGAGGACCGGAGUGGACGGAUCUCUGGUGUACCGGUUGUCACGCCAGUGGCAUCGCCGGGUAGCUAAAUCCGGAAGAGAUAAACGCUGAAAGCAUCUAAGCGUGAAACUCGCCUCAAGAUGAGAUAUCCCGGGGGUUCAACCCCCCUGAAGGGUCGUCCAAGACCAGGACGUUGAUAGGUCGGGUGUGGAGGUG